rnacentral:rRNA from 2 species
GUAGGGUGAACCUGCGGAAGGAUCAUU